CCGGGACAUUUCUAUUUGGACAUAAAAAAUUUGAAUUUUCUGACAUUUAUACGUAUAUUCAGCGUCUAUGUGAACAAAAAAUGUUCUCUCUCUCAUUCUAUGGUCCUUUAGCUUUAAUAACAGGGACAUUUUUUAAAUUGGUAGCAUUAGAAAAUGACAGUAAACAGCUGACUGAUGUAAACAAUAACACAAUAACAAAGGAAAUGUUAUAAUUUUAAUCUAUAUAACCAGUGGCUGCUUUAAAAGUGUGUACUAACGGGAUAAUAAAAUAUUUACGCAAGUAUUUUUGAAGGUAGAAACAUUACUUGUCAUAUAACAAUUAUAGAUUAUAUGAUGAGACGGGAAUGGCACAACACAGAAUUGCAGUCAGUGAUUGUGCUGGAGAAAGCUGCUGCGACGUACUGACAGUACUGACUGUCGCUGGUUGUAUGAUUUGCGCAAUUUGUGAUAUAUUUUGUGUGAAAAACUGGAAAACAAAGUGCAUACCUGCAUAACCUCACUUAUCGCAGUUUUGCACAUUUUGAUGAUGGGAAUUGCGGUUCAAGUAAUUAUGAGUUAUAGAUGGAGCUCACUGUUUACUUCAAACUGAAGCCUUUUGGGUCCACUUUUUUCGUUGUUAUUUCCUGGUAGCGACUCUUGUUUCAAGCAGAAUGGGUGUACAGUUAAAAAUAAUCCCAUAAAAUUGUUAAUAUAACUCCGUUGCACUGGCAUGGGGUAUUUGAAAACUUACGUUUAACAAAUACGUCACAAAGUCUCAGCCAUCGUCGAAAAACAUAAUAAGGGCUUUAUAACAACAAGCGCUUUCUGAUUUUACUGUGGACGUGUGGAAGAAUAGUGUGAAAUAUUGCGAAAAACCAACUUUUACUCUUGUUUACAUUUUUGUACGUCUCUAUCUGGGAGUAGUCGUCUUUUAUAAAAAAUAUAGCCUACUAAUAAAGGAAAUUAAAGUGUU